rnacentral:rRNA from 1 species
GAUGAACGCUAGCGACAGGCUUAACACAUGCAAGUCGAGGGGCAGCACAGGUAGCAAUACCGGGUGGCGACCGGCGCACGGGUGAGUAACGCGUAUGCAACUUGCCUAUCAGAGGGGGAUAACCCGGCGAAAGUCGGACUAAUACCGCAUGAAGCAGGGGCCCCGCAUGGGGAUAUUUGCUAAAGAUUCAUCGCUGAUAGAUAGGCAUGCGUUCCAUUAGGCAGUUGGCGGGGUAACGGCCCACCAAACCGGCGAUGGAUAGGGGUUCUGAGAGGAAGGUCCCCCACAUUGGUACUGAGACACGGACCAAACUCCUACGGGAGGCAGCAGUGAGGAAUAUUGGUCAAUGGGCGCGAGCCUGAACCAGCCAAGUCGCGUGAGGGAUGAAGGUUCUAUGGAUCGUAAACCUCUUUUAUAAGGGAAUAAAGUGCGGGACGUGUCCCGUUUUGUAUGUACCUUAUGAAUAAGGAUCGGCUAACUCCGUGCCAGCAGCCGCGGUAAUACGGAGGAUCCGAGCGUUAUCCGGAUUUAUUGGGUUUAAAGGGUGCGUAGGCGGCCUUUUAAGUCAGCGGUGAAAGUCUGUGGCUCAACCAUAGAAUUGCCGUUGAAACUGGGGGGCUUGAGUAUGUUUGAGGCAGGCGGAAUGCGUGGUGUAGCGGUGAAAUGCAUAGAUAUCACGCAGAACCCCGAUUGCGAAGGCAGCCUGCCAAGCCAUUACUGACGCUGAUGCACGAAAGCGUGGGGAUCAAACAGGAUUAGAUACCCUGGUAGUCCACGCAGUAAACGAUGAUCACUAGCUGUUUGCGAUACACUGUAAGCGGCACAGCGAAAGCGUUAAGUGAUCCACCUGGGGAGUACGCCGGCAACGGUGAAACUCAAAGGAAUUGGCGGGGGCCCGCACAAGCGGAGGAACAUGUGGUUUAAUUCGAUGAUACGCGAGGAACCUUACCCGGGUUUGAACGCAUUCGGACCGAGGUGGAAACACCUUUUCUAGCAAUAGCCGUUUGCGAGGUGCUGCAUGGUUGUCGUCAGCUCGUGCCGUGAGGUGUCGGCUUAAGUGCCAUAACGAGCGCAACCCUUGCCACUAGUUACUAACAGGUAAAGCUGAGGACUCUGGUGGGACUGCCAGCGUAAGCUGCGAGGAAGGCGGGGAUGACGUCAAAUCAGCACGGCCCUUACAUCCGGGGCGACACACGUGUUACAAUGGCGUGGACAAAGGGAAGUCACCUGGCGACAGGGAGCGAAUCCCCAAACCACGUCUCAGUUCGGAUCGGAGUCUGCAACCCGACUCCGUGAAGCUGGAUUCGCUAGUAAUCGCGCAUCAGCCAUGGCGCGGUGAAUACGUUCCCGGGCCUUGUACACACCGCCCGUCAAGCCAUGGGAGCCGGGGGUACCUGAAGUCCGUAACCGCGAGGAUCGGCCUAGGGUAAAACUGGUGACUGGGGC